AUUGAACGCUGGCGGCAGGCCUAACACAUGCAAGUCGAACGCGUGGCGGACGGGUGAGUAAUGUGUGGGAAACUGCCUGAAGGAGGGGGAAAAGUCGUGGAAACGGUAGCUAAUACCGCAUACCAGCAGCUGUGCCAUGAUGGGACUGGCUGGUUGGUGGGGUAACGGCUAACAAAGGCAACGAUCCCUAGCUGGUCUGAGAGGAUGACCGGCCACACUGGAACUGAGACACGGUCCAGACUCCUACGGGAGGCAGCAGUGUGGAAUCUUCCGCAAUGGGCGCAAGCCUGAUGCAGCCAUGCCGCGUGUAUGAUGAAGGCCUUCGGGUUGUAAAAUACUGUCAGUGGGGAAGCGUUACCCGCACAAAAAGCACCGGCUAACUCCGUGCCAGCAGCCGCGGUAAUUC
rnacentral:rRNA from 1 species